rnacentral:lncRNA from 1 species
AUUUAGAGAUUUUAAAGGAAUAUUCGGGUCCUAAAAGAAUAUUUUCUGCAAAGAGAAAUCCUUAUAGUAUAAUCCCUAAAUAAAGGGACUAAAAUUUUAAAACAUCAUUGUUCAUUUCGUUGGAGUAUUGUGGCAGUUGAUAAAAAUAAAAAAGUUAUCUCUAACGUUGAAAGAAAAAACCAAAGAAAAAAAAUCAAAAAGAGAAGAUGUUGUACAUCAUUCCCAGAUAGAGAAAAAAAAUUCAAAAAGAGAAGGCAUUUCCACGUGGGUGGGGUUGUUUCCCACUCAAAUCAACAGUAGACCCACUUUUUGAGUCCCUGUAUACAAUCCUCAUAUUUGAUUUUUUUUUUUUGAGGUUUCCAGCGAGUCUUUCUAUAUAUAGAUACUUUGAAGACUUCUAUUCUGACUCAUUGGAAGCCUUUUGUCCUUAUAUUUAGGAAAUAUACGGUUGUAGGAACUCCAGUUAAGGUCUUCAUUGGAGAUGCUCUAAUGAUCAACUGCACUUGCCUUGCAUACACACUAUUAGAAAUUACCAUUUGCUCAACAAAUCAAGUUUCAUUAGGCACAUUAGUUUUGCCCGACGAAAAAAAUGUUUAGUUGGGCAAAAAUGAUCAACAU